UGCCCAACAACUCCUAUCCCUACUUCCUCGUGGUACUGGCCGGGGUACGAGUAACCUUGGGGAAGA
rnacentral:ribozyme from 1 species